UACGAGGGGUGCAAGCGUUGCUCGGAAUUAUUGGGCGUAAAGGGUAGGUAGGUGGUCUCAUUUGUCUGGGGUGAAAGCCUUGAGCUUAACUCAAGAAGUGCCCCGGAAACGGUGAGACUCGAGUCCUGGAGAGGGUCGUGGAAUUCCCGGUGUAGAGGUGAAAUUCGUAGAUAUUCGGAGGAACACCAGUGGCGAAGGCGGCUCACUGGUCCGGUACUGACGCUGAGGUGCGAAAGCGUGGGGAGCGAACAGG
rnacentral:rRNA from 1 species